AAUUAGAGCAGGACAGCGUGCUCGGAGAGGACGCAGAGCAGAGGUGAGCUAGAGAGGGGAGGUACUGCAGGGCUCCCCGGGCAUGGGAAUGGGAAGCU